GUCCUCACUGGCAUAGAGACAAAGCCAGGACAAUCUCCAGUCACUACAGCACACAGUACAGCGCAUCCCACCGUGAUCAGGUGCCCUCUGACCAGGCGUGCCCCAGAAAGUACGGGGUGAUCCUGGGGUAUCGAGAUGCUGAAAGGGAAAAGGAAGCCCCGAAAAAUCACACCGCUGACCCCAGAUCUUCAGAGGCAUUGACCUGGCCACGGUCAUGGGGAGAAUCGGCAGGUCUCCUGCGUCAUCUGUAGCUCUGUCCACUGACCACUUGGACACCUGUGCCCAGGAGCUAGCGACCAGACCGUCCCUGAAGGGGCAGCAGCAACAGCAGGAAACACGGCUUCCUGUGGACAUGCUGAUGACCCGAUGUCAGAGGCCGAGCUCAGAUGCUGCGUGUGUUGCUAGACGUGCUGACACCCUGGCCAGUGGGUCAGCCCUCAGGGGGGAGUUUGUCUAGAAUCCUCCGAAGAGGAAGGAAGCGGCGUGAUCAGGGUCUGGCUCCUGCUGCUGAGGAAGACGAGACAUCCGCCCCAAGGUCCUGGCAACUCUCAGCCAGCGAAGGUCCUGAUUCAGUGACUUCGUGUGACAGUUGGGUGGGAAGAGGAGGAUGGAUGGAGAAAUUAGAGUCAGUCGCUUUCAAAAACGAUCAGAGUGUGACUGGAAAUGCUCUUCUCUGCCUCGUUCUGAAGAGACUCAUUCUGGACAUAAUCCUCAAAAUGGAAAGUGGGGAGCGCGUGUAUUCUCCAAAUGGACAGGCCAGAUCCGGCCCCAGUGGGCUGUGCAAGGGGCGUCCGAUCCCCACACCCCGGGGGGAGGCAGAGAUCCGCACACCUCCUUCACCCUGGGGUCUCGUGACACCAGGUCCUAGAAUGUGCUCCCGACGACAUUCAGUUCUCGGAAGAACGCGUGGCUUUGUGGAACUAGAACUAAGUGACCUCAGGAGAGAAUGUCCCCAGAACCACGUGGCCCCUGUGGCAGGCCUGGGCUGGAGUCGUGUCAGUCUCACUGGCAACCGACUUUAA
rnacentral:lncRNA from 1 species